rnacentral:rRNA from 1 species
UGGAGAGUUUGAUCCUGGCUCAGAUGAACGCUGGCGGCAGGCCUAACACAUGCAAGUCGAGCGGAAACGAGUUAUCUGAACCUUCGGGGGAACGAUAACGGCGUCGAGCGGCGGACGGGUGAGUAAUGCCUAGGAAAUUGCCCUGAUGUGGGGGAUAACCAUUGGAAACGAUGGCUAAUACCGCAUAAUACCUACGGGUCAAAGAGGGGGACCUUCGGGCCUCUCGCGUCAGGAUAUGCCUAGGUGGGAUUAGCUAGUUGGUGAGGUAAUGGCUCACCAAGGCGACGAUCCCUAGCUGGUCUGAGAGGAUGAUCAGCCACACUGGAACUGAGACACGGUCCAGACUCCUACGGGAGGCAGCAGUGGGGAAUAUUGCACAAUGGGCGCAAGCCUGAUGCAGCCAUGCCGCGUGUGUGAAGAAGGCCUUCGGGUUGUAAAGCACUUUCAGUCGUGGAGGAAGGUAGUGUAGUUAAUAGCUGCAUUAUUUGCACGUUAGCGACAGAAGAAGCACCGGCUAACUCCGUGCCAGCAGCCGCGGUAAUA